rnacentral:rRNA from 1 species
UAGGGAAUCUUCCACAAUGGACGCAAGUCUGAUGGAGCAACGCCGCGUGAGUGAAGAAGGUUUUCGGAUCGUAAAGCUCUGUUGUUGGUGAAGAAGGAUAGAGGCAGUAACUGGUCUUUAUUUGACGGUAAUCAACCAGAAAGUCACGGCUAACUACGUGCCAGCAGCCGCGGUAAUACGUAGGUGGCAAGCGUUGUCCGGAUUUAUUGGGCGUAAAGCGAGCGCAGGCGGAAUGAUAAGUCUGAUGUGAAAGCCCACGGCUCAACCGUGGAACUGCAUCGGAAACUGUCAUUCUUGAGUGCAGAAGAGGAGAGUGGAACUCCAUGUGUAGCGGUGGAAUGCGUAGAUAUAUGGAAGAACACCAGUGGCGAAGGCGGCUCUCUGGUCUGCAACUGACGCUGAGGCUCGAAAGCAUGGGUAGCGAACAGGAUUAGAUACCCUGGUAGUCCAUGCCGUAAACGAUGAGCGCUAGGUGUUGGG